rnacentral:rRNA from 1 species
GACGAACGCUGGCGGCGUGCUUAACACAUGCAAGUCGUACGGUAAGGCCCUUUCGGGGGUACACGAGUGGCGAACGGGUGAGUAACACGUGAGUAACCUGCCCACAACUUUGGGAUAACGCUAGGAAACUGGUGCUAAUACUGGAUAUGUGCUCCUGCUGCAUGGUGGGGGUUGGAAAGCUCCGGCGGUUGUGGAUGGACUCGCGGGCUAUCAGCUUGUUGGUGGGGUAGUGGCCUACCAAGGCGGCGACGGGUAGCCGGCCUGAGAGGGUGACCGGCCAAAUUGGGACUGGGAUAGGGCCCAGACUCCUAGGGGAGGCAGCAGGGGGGAAUAUUGCACAAUGGGCGCAAGCCUGAUGCAGCAACGCCGCGUGCGGGAUGACGGCCUUCGGGUUGUAAACCGCUUUCAGCAGGGACGAAGCUUUUUGGGACGGUACCUGCAAAAGAAGCACCGGCAAACUACGG